ACCCAAACCCACCAGCUGGACGAGGAACCACGGGACGUUAGAAUCAGAGUAACUUUGGCCAACAAUCUGAGACACUUGGGAGAAAAUUCAUUCUAAAUCUAACAGCUUCCUGCUCUCAGGAAGGCCUCUGGGCUUCCGGUGCCUCUGGUCCUCCUUCCCGGCUCUUCUGUGGAGGCUAGCUUCCUCCAAGCUGACCCCGAGGGAGCCGCCUUCUCGUAGGUGGAAAGCGAAGAGAAGAGAGCGGGUAAGCAGUGGAGACACAUUGGCUGUACUCAGGACCUGUACCAGAGGUGGCAGGAGGACACCACCGAGCCCUGCUCCACCCAUCGCAGCCUCGAGACCCUCUGCGCGGGGAUGCUGACCCCUGCUGGCCACCUGAGAGAUUGCAGCGUGGCCGACUCCCAAGGGGCGGCAAGUGUAAGGGAAAAAGAGUGAGAGGAGCCGUAAGGGCUAUGGAGCCCAAAUCAGCAUGCCUCUAGGACCUACCUGAGCCUCCAGAAGACCCCUCAACAGGAACCGUUGUCCGAACCAACCAACUCCAAACCUAAACCUCAGAGGCCUCCUCAUGCAGACAGAUUGCUGACCUAUCUCUGGGGUAGUCAGCUGAAAUACCCCAGAGAUAUUCACGGCCUAAUCCCAGGAAGUUUCUUUAAAUGGCAAAAGAAACCUAGAGUGUGUUACCCUCGAUUAUUUAGGUAGAUUCUACAUGUAAUCAGGUAUAUCACCAAAGGGGAAGUGAGGUAAAGGAAUAUUUAUUUCACUACAGAACAGAAGGCAAGCCAUCUUGCAGGAGGACCUGAGGAGAGAAGGAGAGAGUCAGGAGAGAACAGAUUCCCUCUACAGUGCCCAGAGUCUCCCCUGACUGAUUUGGACCCAAUGAAAUUCCAAACUCUGGUGUCAAGAACUUUAAAAGAAUAAAUGUGUGCUGUUUUG
ensembl:lincRNA Gm12052 predicted gene 12052